AGGCACCAUGCUGUGAGGAAGUCCAGGCCGCAUGGUGAAGCCACAUGGGGAGGAGCUGGGAACCCGUUAACUGCCAGCAUCCAACUGCAAGACAUGAAGGGAGAAGCACAGCGAAGCAACAAACGUAUUUGGCCUGCCACCAGGGCUACAACCAGUGGUGUCUGAUUCCCCUCCGGGGCACCUUCCGAUGGCCUGUCUAGCCAAGCGCUCAGCCAGUUUCUCCAACCCGGGGAAGUGGCCAGCUGUGUGCAGCCGGGCAAGCUCAGGCCCCCUCUGGGUGGGUUGUCCCCCAGCCAAGUCCAUGGAGCCGGCGGGGCAGGCGUCAGUUUGCCCACUCUGCAGAGAGGAGGAACAGAACUCAGACACACCCGCUUCCCAGGUGGCGCAGGAAGCUUCGUCACCUUUUCAC